rnacentral:lncRNA from 1 species
GCUUGUGGCCGGAGUUAUCAGAAGUCAGAGAUAAAAAAUAAAAGCCAAAACAAAACUGGAUGGGAAAGCAGCAGUCGCACAUUGAAAAGAGGACCACCCCAUUUUACCGUAUCUCCAAAGAACUAGAGUUCUCAUCAUUGUUGACACAAUCAUCAUCUCGAAGCUAGCCUUAAAACCUCAAGAAUGAGAUACCUACAACUUCUCCAAAAACAAUCAGCAUUUCCAAAUCUGUAAUGGACUAACUAGCAACCAUCCUUUGAUAAAAUAUCUGUCCUUUCAUUUCGCUCUCUAUAAACAUGACCCAAAGAGCAAGAGGGUGCUUGGUCACCCAGUGACGAAUAUUAUAUAAAAUAUUAUCAAUAUCGAGAUUUUCUUCUCUUCGAUUAACCAUCAUAACUAACUCCUUACUGUCACUUUCAAACCAUCCGUAUCUGCACCCUUGAGCCCAAACAAAUUUUAGUACAUCAAGAAAUUCACAUGCUUAUGCUUGUAUUGGUGAGAACUGACUUCAAUUUUUCAUUUUAACUAAUGUUAUUGUUGGGACUUUUACAAAAGGAUGUUUUACUUGUCUUAAAAACUGGAUUUUCUGCCAUUUAAGAGUAUUGUCAUUUAUUCUAUUUUACCUUUAUCAUUUUAAUUAUUUCAAAGAGAAAAUGUAAGUAGAAAAAUUAAUAAAAAUAAGGAUCGAGUUGUAAUUCCAAUUAGAAUAUCAUAGGGAGUAAAAUUUUAUUCGAUUGGAUAGUUUACAUUAUUGCCAUCACACACGUUCACAGUUCACAAAAACAUAGAACAAUUCUCCAAGAGACCCACCUUCAAUUAUUGAUUCAUACGAUCUAAGAGAGAUUCAUACUGAUCUGAUCAGAUCCGACCGGACCGACACCCUCACUAAGUGAAACCGGACAAUUUUUCCGUACGGCAGUGAGGUUAUACGGCGGAAAAUCGGUCGAAAGCCAUUGCGACACAUUGAAGUAUUGAUACGUGGAAUCAGCGCGAACUUUGGAAGUCGUGAACUCCACGUACUCAACAUACCAGGCGGGCUUGUGGCCGGAGUUAUCAGAGGUCAGAGACAACGAACAUACUGGGCUUGGAAGACACCUCUCCUUACCACUGAAAAUGUCCACGUUACCGUUCUCGAAGUAGUCGUAACCUUGUCCCAUUAACCCACCCCAUGUCACUAGGUUUUUUAUCACGAUCUCUUGUCCGGCUUUGUCGGAGAUAUUAGCGCUUAUGAUCGAAUCUGUGCCGGCACCAUCCAAGGAACCGGUUUUGAGGUAGAAUGUGUAGACGCAAUCUACUUCACGAUCCUGCAAAAUGAUCAAGAAGUUUAUAGCCUAAUCUCUUAAACGUACGACUAGUGUUUUUUCUUUUUUCCCUAACAAGCAUAAACUAGUGUCGCUGUGUAAAACAAUCAUAACCUAAGGGAACUUACGGCAAAUGCAACGACAGAGACAGCGGCGAUGAGGAGGAGAGAGAGGAGGAGAACGUCACAGCGAGCCAUAGUUGGUGAUAUGAAUGUGUAAGACAUGGAGAUAUUUGAUCUGUCCAGGGUAACUAUUAAUAGAGUUUAAGACUUAAGAUUUCAUUAUAUGAGUAGCGGUAGCGUAUGAAGUUGACGUGGAAUUUUCUUGUCCGUUGUGAACUUGUGAUGAGUGAAGAGUAACAUGCUCAAUCAUGUCAUGUAGGUUACAUGAUGUAACUAUAGUUUAAUUUUUUAACUCCAUGAUGUAACUACAUAUCAUGUAUGUUACACUUACAUGAGGUAACUAUAUUUUUCAACUCCAUGAUGUAUAUCAUGUAGUUGGAGAACCGUAUGAAGUUAACGUGGCAACUUCUUGUUCGUUGUGAAUUGUGCUGAGUGAAGAGUAACAUGCUUAAUCAAAUCACGUAAAUAUUUGUUUUUACCUCGACGCAUUUCGUAUACUAGUGCAAUAAUGAAAACUAAUCAGUCCAAUUAAGUAUAUGAUGUCGACAAAAGUAGAAUGAUAUAAAAGAGCUGUUUUUUCUAUCCUCUUUUGUUUAAAGUACUAUAUACUAGUGCAAUAGUGAAGUUUGGUAUUGCUUUGUUUUAUUCUCUAUAAUAUGAAAUAAAACGUGGUGUAUUUCUACUGAAAAUGUCACCUUUCGUUGUAGUUGUAACCUGGCCCCAUUUUUUGUUUCGUUGUAAUGAGUGAAGAAUAUUUUCAAGGAUCCAAUGAGAACGUGAUUAACUCGGCGGACUGAUUACAAAACAAAUAUGGUUUGUUUCUAUAUAUUUUAUAGGCAUGAGGUGUCAGUUUACGCUCCAACAUAUGGAAUUUUUUUUUUGUUACUCACAAAUUUUAUUCGAUCGAAUCAUUUUUCCUUAUUGCUAUCAUGUUUACUAUACUACAAAGUGAAAGAAUAAUUCGCUUUCAUGAUCACUAUAAUUUAAAGUCGUCAAAGAAUAAUUUUCGAAGACAAACACAAACGCAUUCAUUACCUUCGCAUAUGAAUUUUCGUCCUCUUAUCUUGGAGCUGUAAGAAACCAUGAUUUUUACGAUAUAAUAAAACUGAAUACUAAAAAAAAUAUUGAUAUAUAGAAAACAGAAUUAAUAAUGAUUAUUUCGAUAAUAAUAAUAAUAAUUUUCAAAAAAUAUAAAUGGACAACUGCUUUUUUUUACAGCCUAAACACCUAAAACGGUUCAGUAAUCCAAACCAGAAAUACCAAAUUUACAUACAUAACAUCUUGACGUUGGACGCAAGUACUUCGUACAAGGUUGUCCGCUUUCAUAUUUUUCGUAUGUGAAACAAAAUGAAAGAGUGUAAAAAGUAAACUUUUCCUUAUUCUUCAUGUAUUCCUUUAAAUGUAAAGCAAAAACUUACCAUUCAUUUGGUUUAGAUAUUACUUUCACCAACUUAGAACAGUCGGUUGCAAAUAUUACUAUCAUCUAAUUGUUAUCAAACAUACAAUGCAUGACCUAGAUUAGAAUCUCGAGUUCUGCAUUUAAAGGGGUUAGAUUGCGUUGUAAAUUUCUUACUCCCAUUAUCAUUAUCGUGUAGAGACGCUUGAGAUCUUGUCACCCUAAGCCCAAAAAUGGACUAACAAUUUGUUUAGAGACGCUCGAGAUCUUGUCUCUUAAUUCUUUAAUUGCUUUUGUGUUUGAUACAAUCAAAAUUCAGAAUUUUAGGAAUCCAUGAGCCACACGAUUUUUUUUUUUGGUAUGCAACAUUUAACAACAGAACUAAAGAAUCCAACAAAGUAUUGUACUCACAGACUAAAACUACAGAAAAAAAAAGAAUGAUGAUCAAAUAGAAUUAUGAUCAAAUAGAUAUAAGAGAAUCCAUAAUCAAAUUUCAUAAAAAUAAGAAGAUUCAUAAAUAUUCUCCAAAUUUGUUAAAAGUGAUGAAGAGAUCUUCUCCCAAGAAUACAAUUGAAAGUUAUAAAGUUAUUUACACAAACUAAAAUUGAAAGAUUUAUAGGUCUUAGAUUGUUCUUGGUCGAAACAGAAAAAAAAAACCUAGAAAAAAUUAUGGAACAUCUAUAUAUAUUUCAAACCGGUCUAAAGAAUGUGUUUUAGACCUGGCUCCUUGUGUGCGAAUGGCAGCUAGGGCACAUGUAAGUGAUCUAGACCCAACUUCAUGACCGAUCCAGUGUUCUUCAAAGUUCAUGCUAAAUUCUUCAUCUGUUUAUGCUCUAGUUUCUAUAUAUUAUUAUUGAUUUUUUUAUAAUAAGAGAUAUUCUGAACUUUAUUAUCCGAUUAAUGUUUUAAGAUGAGUAAUAUCUUCGACUAAUUCAUUUUUCAGAUUUUCAAACAGGCCUAAAAUGUUUAGAGACGCUCGAGAUCUUGUCUCUUAAUUCUUUAAUUGCAUUUGUUGUGUUUGAUACAAUCAAAAUUCAGAAUUUUAGGAAUCCAUGAGCCACACGAUUUUUUUUUUUGGUAUGCAACAUUUAACAACAAAACUAAAGAAUCCAACAAAGUAUUGUACUCACAGACUAAAAGUACAGAAAGAGAAAAAAAAGAAUCAUGAUCAAAUAGAUAUGAGAGAAUCCAUAAUCAAAUUCCAUAAAUAAAUAAGAUGGUUCAUAAAUAUUCUCCAAAUUUGUUAAAAGUGAUGAAGAGAUCUUCUCCCAAGAAUACAAUUGAAAGUGAUAGAGUUAUUUAUACAAACUAAAAUUGAAAGUGAUAGAGUUAUUAAUACAAACUAAAAAAUAAUUAAAAAUAGGUAUUUAUAGGUCUUAAAUUGUUUUUGGUCGAAACAGAAAAAAAAAACCUAGAAAAAAUUAUGGAACAUAUGUAUAUAUUUCAAACCGGUCUAAAGAAUGUGUUUUAGACCUGGCUCCUUGUGUGCGAAUGGCAGCUAGGGCACAUAUAAGUGAUCUAGACCCGACUUCAUGACCGAUCCAGUGUUCUUCAGUGUUCAUGCUAAAUUCUUCAUCUGUUUUUUAAUUUCUAUAUAUUAUUAUCGAUUUUUUUAUAAUAAGAUAUAGUCUGAACUUUAUUAUCCGAUUAAUCUUUUAAGAUGAGUGAUAUCUUCGACUAAUUCAUUUUUCAGAUUUUCAACAGGCCUAAAAUGUGGUACCAUCUUCGACUGAUCUAAUGGAAGUGGUAUCAUUUAUUUGUUUAUGCUCUAGCUAAGUGUAUCAUUUUUUUCUUAUUUUACCAAAAAAAUGGGAGAGACUCUCAAAACUUCAAAAGAGUCAAAACGAAAUGAAAACACUUGAAACCAACUUAUGCAAUAGUUAAAGUAAGCAUAGACACCAUCUACGUCAUUGUCUUGCACCAAGAAAAUAAAUUAUUUGUUUGAACGGGAGAGAAUUAGUGGACUUCGAACCCUAAUGGUUUGAAUUAGUGGUCGUAUCCUGUCAUUAAUUACAUAGAUUCAAACCUAGUAAAAUGUAUGUCGAGUUGUAGACCAAAACAAAUAGGGACACUAUUUGUCCUCCUAUAUAUUUAGUUUAGCAUAGAAUUAGAGAAUCGAAAAAGUACCUCAUUGAUAUAAUAAUAAUAGUAUAUUUUAGUAUAGUUUAACUAUAUACUUAAGUUUUAAGCUAAAAAAAAUUGAGUCAUUCAUAAGACAACAAUUUUAUUUCGAUCGGAUCGUUUACAUUAUUUUCAAGAGGCCAAGACAAGACACACACAUUCUUUCAUUGAUUCAUUCGAUCUUAUAGGGAGUUUUACGGACCUAAGACCCGGCCCGACCGACACUCUCCCUCAGCGAAACCGGGCAGUUAUUGCGUACUGCUUCUAGAGACGUAUCGGACUCAAGCCACUGCUCCACAUUGAAGUAUUGACGUGCGCUGUUAGCGUGAAAUCCGACGGUCGUGAGCUGCACAUAGUUUACAUACCAGGCAUGGAAUAGGCCGCUGCCGUCAGAUCUCAGAGUCAAUGAACAUAUUGGGCUCGGAAGACACUUCUCAGUAGCACUAAAAAUGUCCACAUUGCCCCUCUCGUAGUAGUCGUAACCUGGUCCCAUUAACCCUCCCCAUGCUUCUAGGUUUCUUAUUACGAUCUUCUGUCCGGUUUUGUCGGAGAUUAUAGCGGUUAUGAUCGAAUCUGUGCCGGCGCCGUUUAUCGAUCCUGUUUCGAUGAAGAAUGUGUAGACGCAGUCUGGUUCUUGAUCCUGCGAUAUUAAUUAAGAAGUUUAUAACCUAAUUGCUUCGACGACAAGUGUUUUUAUUUUCCUAACAAGUAUAAACUAGUGUCGAGGUAGAAUGUGUAGACGCAAUCUACUUCACGAUCCUGCGAAAUGAUCAAAAAGUUUAUAGCCUAAUCUUUUAAACGUACGACUAGUGUUUUUUUUCUAUUUCCCUAACAAGCAUAAACUAGUGUCGCUGUGCAAAACAAUCAUAACCUACCUAAGGGUGAUGCGGAACUUACGGCA